ACGAUCCCAAGUCAAAUAGGAUUACCCGCUAAGUUUAAGCAUAUAAAUAAAUGGAGAAAAGAAAUUUACCAAGAUUCCCCUAGUAACAGUGAGUGACCUAGGAAAAGACCAAUUUGACAAUCGAGCACCCCCAGCAUCCGAAUUGUAGUUUAAAAAAGUGUCCUCAAUGGCAGAUCAAGCCUAAGUCCCCUAGAAAGAGGUGACAGAAAUAGUGAAAGCCUUGUUGUGCUUGGACGCUAUCGCACCACAAGGCACUAUCUACAAGUUAGGUUGUUUGGGAAUGUAGUCCUAACCAGGUAGUAAAUUCCAUCCAUAGUUAAAUACAGGUAAAACACAAAUAGCAAACAAGUACCAUAAAGGAAAGAUAAAAAGGACUUUGAAAAGAGAGUUAAAGAGUAAUUAAAAUUGUCAAAAGGAAAGUAGAUGUAGGCGAAUGAUGCGUAUCACUAAGAUGUGGAAUAAUGAAAGCUGGUCCAUCGAGUGGCUCAAGGCAUGGACCAACAUGAGUUGAGACAGAGCCCAAUCCCAAGCUUUCGAUAUGCUUGCAAAGAUGUCGAUGCCAUAAUCAUAGAAUGUAGCAAGCACCAUCUCAAUGUGCCUUGGCACCUGUGUACUCCUAAUGUCAGCCUGUAAGCUCUCAAUCCGGCCCAUCCUGAUACAUAAACCAAGGAGUUUGACAAGUGUGCGAGUCAAUGAGUUACAAAAACCAUAAGGUGCAAGGAAGCUAAUUGGUAGAAUCCCUUGCAGGCUUACCACCAACUGAUCUUAAUCUUUUGAAAGGGUUUGAGUGCAAGCAUGCCUAUCGAGACUCGAAAGAUGGUGAACUAUUCCCGUACAGGGUAAAGCUAAAGAAAAAUCUAUUAAAGGCCUAUAGCGAUACUGAUGUACAAAUCGUUCAUCUAACUUGGGUAUAGGGGUGAAAGACUAAUCAAACCAUCUAAUAGUUGGUUCCUUCUAAAGUUUUCCUCAGGAUAGGUAGAGCUCUUAGUGAGUUCUAUCGAGUCAAGCUAAUGACUAGACGCAUCGAGGGUGUAACACCCUCGACCUAUUCUCAAACUUUAAAUAGGUAAGACAGCACGGUUGCUUCAUUAAGCCACUCCAAAAAAUUGAAAGCUCUAAGUGGGCCAUUUUUGGUAAGUAAAAUGGUGAUGCAAGAUGAACCAAAAGCUAGGUUAUAGUGCCCAACUACGUGCUAACCUAAAACCUAUAAAGGGUGUUGGUCGAUUAAGAUAGUAUGAUGGUGGUCAUGGAAGUUAAAAUCCACUAAGAAGUGUGUAACAACUCACCUACUAAAUCAACUAGCCUUAAAAAUGGAUGGUGAUUAAGCACAUGACCUAUAUACCCAACCGACUAGGCAAGGGCCAAGCCUCGAUAAGUAAGAGAGCAUGACAAUGGCUAUAACUAGUAGCGGAGCUUGAGCAGAGCAACCAUCAGUGCAAAUCUUAGUGGUAGUAGCAAAUAUUCAAAUGAGAACUUUGAAGGUUGAAGAGGGGAAAGGUUUCAUGUGAAUGGCCCUUACACAUGGAUUAGUUGAUCCUUAGAGACAGGGGAAGCUAGUCCAACACUACAUCUAGUGCAAGUUUCAAAAUAGAAUCAGGUUAAAACUCUUGAACUGGGAUGUUGCGACUAAUGACAAUGUUAAAGAGUACAUAAAUGAUAGAGGACUUAGAAAGAGUUAUCUUCUCUAUUAACAACUUACCCAACCUAAAAAUGGUUCAGUCAAAGCUAGGGUCUAGUGGCUAGAAGAGCACCACACAUCGCAUGAUGUCUGGUGUGCCCCCAAUGACCCUUGAAAAUUUGAAGGACCAAUACCAUCUAUGCUCAAUCGUAUUCAUAAUUGCAUCAGGUCUUCAAGGUGAACAGCCUCUAGUUAAUGGGACAAUGUAGGCAAGGGAAGUUUUUGUAACCUUGGGAAAAAGAUUGGCACUAAGGGCUAGGCACAAGGUCCUAAUCCUGAACCUGUCGGCUGCCUUUGCAUUGCUUAAGCUACUCUCUCUGCAAAAGUAGGUCGUCGCAUGCUGAUCAAGGAACUAACUGGGAAUGGUUCCCAUGGUAGCCUUUCCCAAGUGAUGAACAAUCAACUCAAAACUGGUAUGGACAAUGGGGAAUCUAACAUUUUAAUUAAAAUAAAGCAUUGUGAUGGUGCCUAUGGAUGCUCAUGCAAUGUGAUUUCUACCAGUGCUCUGAAUGUCAAAAUGAAUAAAUUUAACCAAGUGCAGGUAAACAACAGGAGUAACUAUGAUUCUCUUAAGGUAGCCAAAUGCCUUGUCAUCUAAUUAGUGAUGUGUAUAAAUGGAUUAACAAGAUUCCCACUGUCCCUAUCUACUAUUCAAAGAAACCAUAGCCAAGUGAAUGGGAGUAGUAGAAUUAGUAAGUAAAAAAGACCUUGUUCAGCUUGACUCUAGUUUGACUUUGUGAAAUGACUUGAGGGUGCACGAUAAGUGGGAGCCCUUGGGUGAAAUUGAAAUAGCACUACUUUUAACAUUAAAUUAUUUAAUCUAUGAAUUUGAGGUAGGGCAUGACCCUUUCUUUUAGACCCAAGGUCGACCUCAAUCGAUCGGUUUAGGCAAAAGACAUUAUCAAGUGGAAAGUUUGGUUAGGGUGGCACAUCUAUUAAAAGAUAAUAUAGGUGUCCUAAGGUGAGCUCAACAAGAAUAAAAAUCUCAUGUGGAAUAAAAGGGUAAAAGCUCAUUUGAUUUUGAUUUUCAAUACGAAUGCAAACCAUAAAAGUAUGGUCUAUCAAUCCUUUAGACCAUUGGAAUUCAAAGCUAGAGGUGUUAGAAAAGUUACCAUAGGGAUAACUGGCAUGUGGCAGCCAAGGGUUCAUAGCGACAUUCCUUUUUGAUCCUUUAAUGUCAGCUUUUCCUAUCAUUGUGAAGCAAAAUUCACCAAGUGAUGGAUUGUUCACCCAUCAAUAGGGAACAUGAGUUGGUUUUAGACCAUCAUGAGAUAGGUUAGUUUUACCCUACUGAUGAUAACAUCACAAUAGUAAUUUAACCUAGUACAAGAAAAAUCGUUGAUUCAUAUAAUUGGUCAUUGUGCUUGGUUAAAAAGCUAAUGGCAUAAAGUUACCAUGCAUUGGAUUAUGAAUGAAUGUCUCUAAGUUAGAAUCUAAGCUAAAAGUAAUGCAUGAGCUUGUCACCAAAUUAUCGACUUAUAGUAGGGGCCUAUGGCCUCUAAUAGCAUAUGUCGUAAGUGUAAGCCCUAUGGCAGACAAGCAACAUGGGCCUUAUUGGAGUUA
rnacentral:rRNA from 1 species